rnacentral:rRNA from 1 species
GACGAACGCUGGCGGCGUGCUUAACACAUGCAAGUCGAACGGAAAGGCCCUGCUUUUGUGGGGUGCUCGAGUGGCGAACGGGUGAGUAACACGUGAGUAACCUGCCCUUGACUUUGGGAUAACUUCAGGAAACUGGGUCUAAUACCGGAUAUGAGCUCCUGCUGCAUGGUGGGGGUUGGAAAGUUUCGGCGGUUGGGGAUGGACUCGCGGCUUAUCAGCUUGUUGGUGUGGUAGUGGCUUACCAAGGCUUUGACGGGUAGCCGGCCUGAGAGGGUGACCGGCCACAUUGGGACUGAGAUACGGCCCAGACUCCUACGGGAGGCAGAAGUGGGGAAUAUUGCACAAUGGGCGGAAGCCUGAUGCAGCAACGCCGCGUGCGGGAUGACGGCCUUCGGGUUGUAAACCGCUUUCGCCUGUGACGAAGCGUGAGUGACGGUAAUGGGUAAAGAAGCACCGGCUAACUACGUG